CCUACGGGUGGCAGCAGUGGGGAAUAUUGGGCAAUGGGCGCAAGCCUGACCCAGCAACGCCGCGUGAAGGAAGAAGGCUCUCGGGUUGUAAACUUCUUUUAUCAGGGACGAAGCCAGUGACGGUACCUGACGAAUAAGCCACGGCUAACUACGUGCCAGCAGCCGCGGUAAUACGUAGGUGGCAAGCGUUAUCCGGAUUUACUGGGUGUAAAGGGCGUGUAGGCGGGAAAGCAAGUCAGAUGUGAAAACCAUGGGCUCAACCUGUGGCCUGCAUUUGAAACUGUUGUUCUUGAGUACUGGAGAGGCAGACGGAAUUCCUAGUGUAGCGGUGAAAUGCGUAGAUAUUAGGAGGAACACCAGUGGCGAAGGCGGUCUGCUGGACAGCAACUGACGCUGAGGCGCGAAAGCGUGGGGAGCAAACAGGAUUAGAUACCCCAGUAGUC
rnacentral:rRNA from 1 species